rnacentral:tRNA from 1 species
GAGGGUAGAGUUCAGUGGUAGAGUGUGUGCUUAGCAUGCAGGAGGGCCUGGGUUCAAUCCCCAGUACCUCCA